UAAAAUGAUACAUUUCCUCUUUUUUGACAAUUUUUACACAGUGGUUACUAUGUAUUUCCCCCCUGUUUUUAGGUUGUCGACUUACAGUGAUCCUAUGGAUGAGACACCUUCAAGUCACCCUGUUAUCAAUAGCUCUGCUGUGGAGAGGAAGAGAAUCUAGCUCCUUCAUAAUUGUCCUUUCCAGUCCUAGCAUUCUUCUGAUUUCUUGUCUAGCAUCGCAAUUCUAAUUAAUGACUGAAACAAGUUGUUUCAAGGGAAGCCUACAAAAAUGCAGUUGCUCUACAAAUCAGUCUUCGCACCAGAGAGGGGCUGUUUUUGACACGACACCAUUAAUGGAAGCAAUAAAAUGCAAGUAUGCAAGGCGCUCACUUUCUCCCACUACCACAACUGCAUUUUUUCCAUCUCUCUCUCACUCUCUCUCUGUAUUCGUGUGGGGUGAACUUUAAUUCUCAUGGUGGGUGCCAGAGUUACAAUCCCAUGACUUGAGAUCUACAAAGAGAUUGCAACGAAUUCAGGCAAAGCUUCCACAUAAAAUGGAGAGAGGCCACCUACAAGGGCAGCCUAUUCUCAUUAUCUCUAUGCUUUGUGACCCUUCUAUUGCCGUGGAAUAUCAGCUAUGGCUUGCCGUACUGUGAGCGCAAGGCAAGCCUGCAUUUAAUAUAAGGUAAUUUAAUCAACAAUUAAUGCAGAGUAGAUUGAAAAACAUCUGGGAAGUGGUAUACACAGGCACCAUAAUAGUCUGAUGUAGAUACAAGGUUUGUUCCUUCUAAACCAGAGAGGAAGAAUGUUCAGCUCUCAAGGUUUUUUACACUAUAGUUCCACAGUCCUUUAUUACUAACUGUGCCUCAUGGAGUUGGUGAGAGUUUGUUGUAGUUCCUACGUGUUCAUACACAAACCGACCAUGGGAUCUGUUUGCAAAAGAGGAAGAGCUAUUUUGUAUAGAAAAAAUAUGAGUGGUAGUAAGGAGGUAGAUCUUAGAAAUGUCACUUUUUUGGACUAUAACUUGAAUUUGCAGCAUAGCUACUGGGCAAGCGAUUUGUGAGGAGAAUGGUCAGGUGCUGUUGUGUAUAGAGGAAAUCUUAUAUGUAAAAGGUUUUUAGUGGUCAGCCCUCCAUGUGAAAGAGUCCUUAAUUUCAAGGACUGUGUAGCACAAGACUGAUUGAAAGGUAAUCUCAUUUUGAAGCUGCCCAUUAACAGUGAACACCUGGAUGACAGACUAAGCUGACCCAAUACGCCAUCAAUCACAGUCUUCCUUGUUGUGGCGAGAUAUACUGUAGUUUGGUUUAAAGUAAAUUUUAACCUCCAUAUCUCUCUAGGAAUUUUCUAAGUCCUCUAUGGUGAUUUUUGGUGGAAGCCUUCAUUUCAAAAGGUUUUACUAUUAACCAAUAAUUUCCUGUCUCCAUGGUGAAUUUAGAAAGGUAUCCCUGCUGUUAGCCCCAGCUUCUGUCAACCUAGCAGUUUGAAAAACAUGCAAAUGUGAGUAGAUCAAUAGG
rnacentral:lncRNA from 11 species